ACAAGUCUUGCAAAAGUGCCCUCGGCCGGGCGCGGGUGUCCCGCGUUGCCUCAGUUCGCCCGCUACCACACACGCCUCCGGCUCACCGCCCUAAGUUGCUUUCGGUUUCCGAGGAGCCGGGACGGUCAGCUCACCCGGACUUUUGCCACUUGCGGGGCUCGCGGAGCUCCGCUGGCGCCCUACGGCGGCGGGCACUAGGCUGCUUCGCCUCAGCAGCGGGUUCACAGUAAUUGCAGCCUAUAUGAACGAAGUGAACUAGCAUCUCAAAUCUAACCUCUUCCAAGUCAGACAAACGCGGGAAAUACUUAGCUGUCUUGAGCAUCAAAUGUCUCAUCACGGAGAGAAGAGAGUACUAGGGCCCUUGCAGUGGACACAGGCUACAGUGGAAAGCCUGCUCAUCAGGUGGCUCGUGUAAAGGAUGGCAAGCAGCAAUCCCCAGCAGAAAGCAAGCCUCUGAUUAUGGUAUGCAUAGAAGACUUGCUGGCUUACCAGGUGUGUUGCACCAACACCUUGUUUGUAAAGAAAAUUGCAACACAUCCCUCAGAUUCAGCACCUAAGCCACAGAUACUGAACAUCUGGACAGAUGCUGGUGCUGAACAACUCGACUGACAUCUCCCACAGACUGUACUGCAGGUCUACUGACGAGAGACAAGACAAUGAAAGCUGUCACGGUAUAAUAUGCACGUACACAAGACAAGUGCUUUCAAAAAUGCUCUAGACAGUUUAAGAUACAUAACCGUCUUCCAUGGCUUUUAAAGUAAAAAUAAGUAUAAAUUCUUUAAUAUUACUUUUAGAUCAGUUACAUUUUUAUAUGGGGCAUAAACUAUUAAGGUGAUCUGAUGAGAAAAAAAAGGGCCUUUUUCUGCAAGCCACUUUCAAUCACAUCAGAAUUGAGGGUCCUUUUGAAGGAAAAGCUGAAAAUUAAAAUUGACCAAUGGGCUGGAGAGCCCAUAAAGGGAUUAUUUUUCCAGUACUUAAGGAAACAUGAUCCCUCUGAUGUGGGCAGCCUGCAGCCCUAGCAACUGUCCCUCUACUGCAAGCCAUGCUUCCCAUGUGAAGUCAUUCUAUCAAAGCUGUCAGUAACAUGUUUGUUGAAACUCCGCCAUAGUAAAAUAUUCUUUGUGGGUGCUAAUGACUUUGUGUUGGAAUAAAAAGGCCUUAAGCCUCUGUUUUUUC
rnacentral:lncRNA from 1 species